AUCCAGAUGAGGAGUUUCAAAUAGGACGAAAUGUGCAUCCUGGAU
rfam:Trichobilharzia regenti genome assembly, scaffold: TRE_contig0031619